rnacentral:rRNA from 1 species
AUUGGACUGCGUCCCCCCAGGCUGUUGGUGAGGUAAUGGCCCACCAAACCUAUAACCGGUACGGGCUCUGAGAGGAGAAGCCCGGAGAUGGGCACUGAGACAAGGGCCCAGGCCCUAUGGGGCGCAGCAGGCGCGAAAACUCUGCAAUGGGCGAAAGCCUGACAGGGUUACUCUGAGUGAUUUCCGCUAAGGAGAUCUUUUGGCAGCUCUAAAAAUGGUGCAGAAUAAGGGGUGGGCAAGUCUGGUGUCAGCCGCCGCGGUAAUACCAGCACCCCGAGUGGUCGGGACGAUUAUUGGGCCUAAAGCAUCCGUAGCCGGUUGUGCAAGUCCUCCGUUCAAUCCAGCCGCUCAACGGAUGGGCUGCGGAGGAUACUACAGAACUAGGAGGCGGGAGAGGCAAGCGGUACUUUUUGGGUAGGGGUACAAUCCUUUGAUCCAUUGAAUA